GACGAACGCUGGCGGCGUGCUUAACACAUGCAAGUCGAACGGAAAGGCCCUGCUUUUGUGGGGUGCUCGAGUGGCGAACGGGUGAGUAACACGUGAGUAACCUGCCCUUGACUUUGGGAUAACUUCAGGAAACUGGGGCUAAUACCGGAUAGGAGCUCCUGCUGCAUGGUGGGGGUUGGAAAGUUUCGGCGGUUGGGGAUGGACUCGCGGCAUAUCAGCUUGUUGGUGGGGUAGUGGCUUACCAAGGCUUUGACGGGUAGCCGGCCUGAGAGGGUGACCGGCCACAUUGGGACUGAGAUACGGCCCAGACCCCUACGGGAGGCAGCAGUGGGGAAUAUUGCACAAUGGGCGGAAGCCUGAUGCAGCAACGCCGCGUGCGGGAUGACGGCCUUCGGGUUGUAAACCGCUUUCGCCUGUGACGAAGCGUGAGUGACGGUAAUGGGUAAAGAAGCACCGGCUAACUACGUG
rnacentral:rRNA from 1 species